rnacentral:rRNA from 1 species
UAUUGCACAAUGGGGGAAACCCUGAUGCAGCGACGCCGCGUGAGUGGAGAAGUAUUUCGGUAUGUAAAGCUCUAUCAACAGGGAAGAAGAAAGACGGUACCUGACUAAGAAGCCCCGGCUAACUACGUGCCAGCAGCCGCGGUAAUACGUAGGGGGCAAGCGUUAUCCGGAUUUAAUGGGUGUAAAGGGAGCGUAGACGGCUGCGCAAGUCUGGAGUGAAAUGCCGGGGCCCAACCCCGGAACUGCUUUGGAAACUGUGCAGCUCGAGUGCAGGAGAGGUAAGCGGAAUUCCUAGUGUAGCGGUGAAAUGCGUAGAUAUUAGGAGGGACACCAGUGGCGAAGGCGGCUUACUGGACUGUAACUGACGUUGAGGCUCGAAAGCGUGGGGAGCAAACAGG